AUGUUUUCCUCGCAGUCCAUGAGCCGUGUGAACAACAUCAGGACGGCGCUCAUCAACGCGCAGAAGGGCAACCAGACGAUUGCCGCCUACUUUGCCACUCUCCGUGGCCUCGCCGACGAGCUUGCCGCUGCGGGGAAGGCCAUCCAAGACGACGAGCUCAUCUCCUACAUCAUCCACGGCCUCGACGUCGACUACCAGCCCCUCAUCUCCACCGGUCUCCCUCGACGAGCUCUACGCCAUGCUCAGCAACUUCGACCAGCGCAUGGCCCAGUUCAAUCACUCGGGCAGCGGCGACUUCCGCUCCUCUGCCAACGCCGCAGUGCGUGGCCGUGGUGGUGGAUCACGUGGCCAUGGCUCUUCUCGCGCCAAGGGGUGAUCUGGAGGACAUGGUGGUGGCGGCAACAGCGGCGGGGGCAACGGCCGCUCUGGUGCAUCCCGCGGUCGUCAUGGCGGCGGUCCAACUCGGGCCCGACCAGAGAUGCCUCGCUGCCAAAUUUGUGGUAA
rnacentral:rRNA from 1 species